rnacentral:ribozyme from 13 species
UUGUGGUUUUUGUUUUAUUUUUCCUCGUUUUCAUCUUUAUUUUUCAUUUCCUCCGGCUCGAUUUUCACAAGAGGGGCCCAAUCAGGAAGAUUUGGGAGACUAUCUCGAAAGC